AGUUCGAUUCUGGCUCAGAUUGAACGCUGGCGGGAUGCUUUACACAUGCAAGUCGAACGGCAGCACGGACUUCGGUCUGGUGGCGAGUGGCGAACGGGUGAGUAAUGUAUCGGAACGCCUAGUAGCGGGGAUAACUACGCGAAAGCGUAGCUAAUAUUACCGCAUACGCCCUUCGGGGGAAAGCGGGGACCUUCGGGCCUCGCACUAUUAGAGCGGCCGAUAUCGGAUUGGCUAGUUGGCGGGGUAACGGCUCACCAAGGCGACGAUCCGUAGCUGGUUUGAGAGGACGACCAGCCACACUGGGACUUCGAGACACGGCCCAGACUCCUACGGGAGGCAGCAGUGGGGAAUUUUGGACAAUGGGGGAAACCCUUGAUCCAGCCAUCCUGCGUGUGCGAUGAAGGCCUUCGGGUUGUAAAGCACCUCUUUUGGCAGGGAAAGAAACGGCACGGGAUAAUACCCCGUGCAACUGACGGUACCUGCAGAAUAAGCACCGGCUAACUACGUGCCAGCAGCCGCGGUAAUACGUAGGUGCAAGCGUUAAUCGGAAUUACUGGGCGUAAAGCGUGCGCAGGCGGUUCGGAAGAAAGAUGUGAAAUCCCAGAGCUUAACUUUGGAACUGCAUUUUUAACUACUGAGCUAGAGUGUGUCAGAGGAGGUGGAAUUCGCGUAGCAGUGAAAUGCGUAGAUAUGCGGAGGAACACCGAUGGCGAAGGCAGCCUCCUGGGAUAACACUGACGUCAUGCACGAAAGCGUGGGGAGCAAACAGGAUUAGAUACCCUGGUAGUCCACGCUCUAAACGAUGUCAACUAGUUGCUGGGGCCUCCUGGGCCUUUCGGUAGCGCAGCUAACGCGUGAAGUUGACCGUCUGGGGAGUACGGUCGCAAGAUUAAAACUCAAAGGAAUUGACGGGGACCCGCACAAGCGGUGGAUGAUGUGGAUUGACCGAUGCAACGCGAAAACUCAUCUACCCUGACAUGUCUGGAAUCCUGAAGAGAUUUGGGGAGUUUCAGUAAGAGAACCGGAACACAGGUGCUGUAUGGCUGUCGUCAGCUCGUGUCGUGAGAUGUUGGGUUAAGUCCCGCAACGAGCGCAACCCUUGUCAUUAGUUGCUACGAAAGGGCACUUCCACGAGACUGCCGGUGACAAACCGGAGGAAGGUGGGGAUGACGUCAAGUCCUCAUGGCCCUUAUGGGUAGGGCUUCACACGUCACGCACGGUCGGGACAGGGAAGUCGCUAACCCGCGAGGGGGAGCCAAUCCCAGAAACCCGAUCGUAGUCCGGAUCGCAGUCUGCAACUCGACUGCGUGAAGUCGGAAUCGCUGUAAUCGCGGAUCAGCAUGUCGCGGUGAAUACGUUCCCGGGUCUUGUACACACCGCCCGUCACACCAUGGGAGUGGGUUUUACCAGAAGUAGUUAGCCUAACCGUAAGGAGGGCGAUUACCACGGUAGGAUUCAUGACUGGGGUGAAGUCGUAACAAGGUAA
rnacentral:rRNA from 1 species